rnacentral:rRNA from 1 species
UGGGGAAUAUUGGACAAUGGGGGAAACCCUGAUCCAGCAAUGCCGCGUGAGUGAUGAAGGCCUUCGGGUUGUAAAGCUCUUUUGUCAGGGACGAUAAUGACGGUACCUGACGAAUAAGCACCGGCUAACUUCGUGCCAGCAGCCGCGGUAAUACGAAGGGUGCUAGCGUUGUUCGGAGUAACUGGGCGUAAAGGGAGCGUAGGCGGUUAGGUACGUUUGGUGUGAAAGUCCUGGGCUUAACCUGGGGACUGCAUUGAAUACGGCUUGACUUGAGAUAUUGAGGGGAAGAUGGAACUGCGUGUGUAGAGGUGAAAUUCGUAGAUAUACGCAAGAACACCAGUGGCGAAGGCGAUCUUCUGGCAAUAGUCUGACGCUAAGGCUCGAAAGCGUGGGGAGCAAACAGG